CCUGAUCUUCCAUCCAGCAAAGAAGCUCUGCCAGAACAUCGCUUCCAAGACUAUUUCAAUGCCGGUGCACAGGCUGCUCAUCUGAGUCACCAACAACUGGAAUCUCCUCCUCCCUCAGACCAUGUGCUCAAGCUGGCUUUAAAAAAGCCCCUCUGUAGCAG
rnacentral:lncRNA from 1 species